rnacentral:rRNA from 1 species
GACGAACGCUUGCGGCGUGCCUAAGCUAUGCAAGUCGAGCGGGGUUUGGUUUGAGUCUUCGGACGAUUUCCAAACCUAGCGGCGAACGGGUGAGUAACACGUGAGCAACCUGCCUCGCUGUCCGGGAUAACAGACCGAAAGGGCUGCUAAUACCGGAUACGAAGCGCCCCCGCCUGAGGGCGCUUGGAAAGGGGUAACCCACAGCGAGGGGGGCUCGCGGCCUAUCAGCUAGUUGGUGAGGUAACGGCCCACCAAGGCGACGACGGGGAGCCGACCUGGGAGGGUGACCGGCCACACUGGGACUGAGACACGGCCCAGACUCCUACGGGAGGCAGCAAGCGGGAAUAUUGCACAAUGGGCGAAAGCCUGAUGCAGCGACGCCGCGUGAGGGAUGAAGGCCUUCGGGUCGUAAACCUCUGUUGGUAGGGACGAUAGUGACGGUACCUACUGAGGAAGCUCCGGCUAACUCCGUGCCAGCAGCCGCGGUAACAC